rnacentral:rRNA from 1 species
GACGAACGCUGGCGGCGUGCUUAACACAUGCAAGUCGAACGGAAAGGCCCUGCUUUUGUGGGGUGCUCGAGUGGCGAACGGGUGAGUAACACGUGAGUAACCUGCCCUUGACUUUGGGAUAACUUCAGGAAACUGGGGCUAAUACCGGAUAGGAGCUCCUGCUGCAUGGUGGGGGUUGGAAAGUUUCGGCGGUUGGGGAUGGACUCGCGGCUUAUCAGCUUGUUGGUGGGGUAGUGGCUUACCAAGGCUUUGACGGGUAGCCGGCCUGAGAGGGUGACCGGCCACAUUGGGACUGAGAUACGGCCCAGACUCCUACGGGAGGCAGCAGUGGGGAAUAUGGCACAAUGGGCGGAAGCCUGAUGCAGCAACGCCGCGUGCGGGAUGACGGCCUUCGGGUGGUAAACCGCUUUCGCCUGUGACGAAGCGUGAGUGGCGGUAAUGGGUAAAGAAGCACCGGCUAACUACGU